AACGAACGCUGGCGGCAGGCUUAACACAUGCAAGUCGAGCGCCCCGCAAGGGGAGCGGCAGACGGGUGAGUAACGCGUGGGAAUCUACCCAUCUCUACGGAAUAACGCAUGGAAACGUGUGCUAAUACCGUAUACGUCCUUCGGGAGAAAGAUUUAUCGGAGAUGGAUGAGCCCGCGUUGGAUUGGCUAGUUGGUGGGGUAAAGGCCUACCAAGGCGACGAGCCAUAGCUGGUCUGAGAGGAUUAUCAGCCCCACUGGGAAUGAGACACGGCCCAGACUCCUACGGGAGGCAACAGGGGGGAAUAUUGGACAAUGGGCGCAAGCCUUAUCCAGCCAUGCCGCGUGAGUGAUGAAGGCCCUAGGGUUGUAAAGCUCUUUCACCGGUGAAGAUAAUGACGGUAACCGGAGAAGAAGCCCCGGCUAACUUCGUGCCAGCAGCCGCGGUAACAC
rnacentral:rRNA from 1 species